rnacentral:rRNA from 1 species
AACGUAGGUGGCAAGCGUUAUCCGGAUUUACUGGGCGUAAAGGGCGCGUAGGCGGCCGCCUAAGUCAGACGUGAAAUCCCUCGGCUCAACCGGGGAACUGCGUCUGAUACUGGGUGGCUUGAAUCCGGGAGAGGGAUGCGGAAUUCCAGGUGUAGCGGUGAAAUGCGUAGAUAUCUGGAGGAACACCGGUGGCGAAGGCGGCAUCCUGGACCGGCAUUGACGCUGAGGCGCGAAAGCUAGGGGAGCAAACAGG